rnacentral:lncRNA from 1 species
CUCCAUACAGAUUCAGUUCUGCUGUGCUUUCUCCCUUUCCAAGCAUGCAGAGGAGCACACUAGGUCCUCUGGAGAGGCUGCUGUGAAGCAAAGGACAAGUCUUCUGCCUCAGAACAUCCCUGUGUACUUUAAUCUUCAAGCUUCUGUGUAACUAGUAAGGAGCUCUCUAUGCUGCCUCAUUCUGAGUAAAUUGCUUCUUGAAAUAGGAAGUGCUGUUUCUUUUUAUCUGUUGAGGUGCAAUACAAAGGCCAACUCUCCACCCAUUCUGAACAUAACAUUCCUUUGGGUCUAUCUUAUAAAAAGCUGAGGUUGUGCUAGAGGACACUGAGACACUCCUUCAGCCUCCUCAGAAACGUCUCGUGACUAGCUGGAAGAAUGAAGCUCCUGGCACUUUGUGGCUUUUUGUUUGUCUGUCUUUUGUGCCUCAAUGUCUUUGCUGCAGAAGCCUUAGGUCAUAGGGUUAGAAGACGCUGCUGCUCAAAAGCAUCCGCAGUCAACAAAAAUCGACAUAAAGGUUUUAAAGCAACUGCAGUGGAAACAAGGAGAUCCUGCAAGCCUUGUUCUCGGCAAGUCCCUGUAGUGUUUUCUGGACCACUUCCACAGCUAAAAUAAGCAGACUGAGAGGAGGGUGAAAAGCAUCUGCCUACAUGCACAACCACCAGUGCUUCACUAUCUUGAGGACGCUCCUUUCACAGACAGGGCAUGAGUGUACAUUGCUUUCUGUUUGAGGAAAGGCUUCAUUACUGUUUAUUCAUUCCUUCACUCAGGCAGUUUUGAUAGUAUGAAUCUGGCAGAAGGAGUCAGGCAAAGUUGUCUGGCUGCCACCAGACUUUUUGUCAGUGGAAUAUUCCUCUGCACCAAGCAGGAAUUUAGCUCCUCAAGUAAGGCUGGUUGAAGAGGUAUCUGAAUUGCACUGGUUUGCAUUUCUAAAUGCCUUUUAGGCAUUCCAUUGCCUAAAAGAUGGUGAAGGGCUGAUGCUUUUGUUUCUAGUUAUCAGUAUACAUGCAUAUUUAACCUUUUCUUGAAUCAUUUAUUUUAUAUUAACCAAGGUGUUUCUUUGUAUGAUCAUUAGUCAUUGAUGAUUUUUCCUGCAGUCCUUGUAGUCGGUGUUAGCAAUCCACUUGGAAGUAAAUUUCUACAUAUGAUAAAAGUCUCAUCAUUUAGAAAGGGCUGAGAAACUAGAUAAACAGAUUAUUAAAACAGUGGUGAUGGGCCAGAUUCAAGUAGGCUUUUCAAUAUAUUUUCUGAGGGGGCUAAAUCUGACUUUAAAAUCAAAGUGGCCUGGUUUUAACUUCCUUAAGAGUAUCAUCAGGUGGUUAUUGAAGAGCAUACUGAAAAGAUAUUAAACCUAAUCAGAUUUCAUCUGUUCCUCUGAAGCCAGAAGGCAGCUGUUCUUUCAAGACAGUGGAGUUGUGUGAUCACCUCAAUAAACAAAGCUUACUGGAGCA